rnacentral:rRNA from 1 species
UACGUAGGGGGCAAGCGUUGUCCGGAUUUAUUGGGCGUAAAGAGCGUGUAGGCGGCCAGACAGGUCUGCUGUGAAAACUCGAGGCUCAACCUCGAGACGCCGGUGGAAACCGUCUGGCUAGAGUCCGGAAGAGGAGAGUGGAAUUCCUGGUGUAGCGGUGAAAUGCGCAGAUAACAGGAAGAACACCCGUGGCUAAGGCGGCUCUCUAGUACGGUACUGACGCUGAGACGCGAAAGCAUGGGGAGCAAACAGG